rnacentral:rRNA from 1 species
AUUGAACGCUGGCGGCAGGCCUAACACAUGCAAGUCGAGCGGUAGCACAGGAGAGCUUGCUCUCCGGGUGACGAGCGGCGGACGGGUGAGUAAUGUCUGGGAAACUGCCUGACGGAGGGGGAUAACUACUGGAAACGGUAGCUAAUACCUCAUAACGUCGCAAGACCAAAGAGGGGGACCUUCGGGCCUCUUGCCAUCAGAUGUGCCCAGAUGGGAUUAGCUAGUAGGUGGGGUAACGGCUCACCUAGGCGACGAUCCCUAGCUGGUCUGAGAGGAUGACCAGCCACACUGGAACUGAGACACGGUCCAGACUCCUACGGGAGGCAGCAGUGGGGAAUAUUGCACAAUGGGCGCAAGCCUGAUGCAGCCAUGCCGCGUGUAUGAAGAAGGCCUUCGGGUUGUAAAGUACUUUCAGCGGGGAGGAAGGUGUUGUGGUUAAUAACCACAGCAAUUGACGUUACCCGCAGAAGAAGCACCGGCUAACUCCGUGCCAGCCGCCGCUGUAAGAC